rnacentral:lncRNA from 1 species
AGCUUUCAAAUGUUGUCCGUUCAAAUCCACAGUGCUUGUGCCAGGUCCUGAAUGGUGGUGGCUCGUCGCUUGGGGUGAAUAUCAACCAAACACAGGCCCUAGCUCUGCCCCAAGCUUGCAACGUUCAGACUCCAUCUGUCAGCAGCUGCAAUGGUAAGCAUACCAAUUAUCACCAGCUGCAUGCUAUUUAUUAAUAGAUAAUGAAGAUAUGAACUAUUAUCAAUCUCUAUCUAAAGUGCUAACUUGUGAUACCUGAAAAUUUGCCAGUUGAUUCUCCCGCCGGCUCUCCAGCAGGUGCACCAGACUCUUCAAACAAUGUUCCUUCAGGUAUAAACAUAAAAGAAAAUACUUUUAAUUGUAUGCUUGGUCAGUUCAUUCACACGGUCAAUUAAAGUACCUAACUGCUUGUGCAGGAACUGGAUCUAAGACUGUUCCAUCGACAGACAAUGGCUCAUCAGACGGAAGCUCCAUCCAUAUGUCAAAACCUCUACUAUUCUCCAUCUUGUUGGCUUCUAUAUAUGCUUCAGCUUUCAAGUUGUACUGAUCUUAUCAGUAGCCUCUUUUCUACAAGUUUGGUUUAUUGCUGGUCAUUUAUUGCAUUUAGAUAUUUUUUGGAGUGUCCAUUAUUUUAAGCAUCCCUUUUGUUUAGGGUGUUUUAUUCUAUCUUCAUAUUCUCCUCAUCUGGCAUUUGUUUCCAUGAACUUUGUAUUGUAUCAGAGAUUCUUUUGAAUAAAAUACAUGAUCGUGUGCUUGUGAGUAAAUGGAAUGAAUGUCUACAAUAAAAUACAUGAUUAAGUAACAUGAAUGAAUGGAAUGAAUGAAUGGAAUGAAUGACUAAAAUAGUUGUGAAUAAAUUCACUUCCUCAGUGAUUACAAACAGAAGAUAUAUAAAAACAUUAAGCAGAGAAAAGAACCAUCUACAAAUGAAUUUUAACAAAGUUACAUUUUUUAAUAACCAUUGACAUAAUAAAAUCCUGCUAGUGUAAUACAACUAUUUCUAAUAAAUUCUUACUUGGAGCCAACUCGUUAUCCCAUGGCAGUAGGGUUAAAAAAUUUCCCCCACUAACAUUGCCAAUUAGAAACUGUCAGCCUCAAAUCAAAAGAAUGAAAGUGAAAAAACUUGUUAGAAUUACAUUUAAGGUUGAAGCCAAAGAAGGAAGAAACAAAUUGCUCGGAUAAAUUUGAUGGUUGAAACAGAAGCAAGGAUGGAUUAAGAUGGAAAUUCUCAGCCUAAAAUGCAUACCUUCCUGCAGUCAUUGCUUGUGUCACCAAAGAGGAAAAAAUGAGUAAAGUUGGAAGGGGUAGAAAGUCUUAGUGAAGCCUAUCUCUUGUGGCCCUGAAGGGAUCGAUCAACAGUCACCACCAGCAAGAAUUGUGCCUUGAAAACACUAGUUUGUAUUGCUUAAAGUUGUGAAGUCAAGCAGGAUGAUAUUUGGGUUUACUUACCAACAUAUGAAUUUCCAAAUUGCACAAGCUACGGCCUGUAUAAACUUCUGAGUUGCAAGACUCAGUUCUCGAGAUAGACAUUUACUUAUAAAAAUACAGUCUCACCACCAACAUGUAAGCUUUAUAAACUCACACAUAUUUAAGUUCCUAACUCACUCUUCCAUAGAAUCUAAUUGGUCACCUCUCAGGCCACUCGGAGAUUUGCAAAUCAUAAUCAAGAAAAACAAAACAAAACAAAACAAAAAAGCGGAAAAAGAAGGAAAUACAUGAGUUUUACCCCUAUACAAAGCUUUUUAUUUGUCAUCGCCAAUCUGUAAAAUGACGGCCACAAAAAAGAAGUUCCUACUUUACUUCAACUAAAAAAACAAAAAAUUCUUUUAGAGUAAUAGUUAAUGGAUGAGUCAAUUGUCAUAGUGCUAAUAUUAUUUAUUUAGUAAUAGUAUAUGCUUAAUUUCUGAUGGGAAAUGUACGUUAGCGUAUUUUCCAAUUCCAGUGGAAAAAGAGUUACAGCGGUAUGCAGAACCAAAAAGGUCCAAAAACAGAUAAAAGUUCAACUUGUGUAAUCAUAAACUAAUUCAGUAAUUCUCAUUAAGAAUUCCUAAAAGUGUUAUUUUACAACUGGAAUGAGACUCAGUACAAGUAUCAGGACACCAAACAAGGACUUUCCCUAACAAGUGACAGGCAAAAAGGGAAAAAGAAAAUGGCGCACCAUGGAAUUCACAUCAAGAAUGAGACCGUGACCUUACAAAUUCUUCUAACCUAUCCCACACCUCCAAUGCUGCAGCUCUAUCUUGGUGCCGCUUGUUCUUGCUAAUCUGCAAGGGAAACAAUAUUUAAAUUACUAUACGACAUUGCAACCGAAUAAUAGGGAACUAACUAGAAGGGGUGGCUAAGCAGAAAUAGGUACAAGAGGGAAGGGGAAUUUCAAACUUCAAAUCCCAAACCACAGCCAGAUCAAGAUUUAGGAAAAUGCAACACGUGGGAAAAGGGACUAGGGAAAUAGAAGAUUACCGAAAUAAUUUUAACAUUCCACUGCUUCACAUUCUUAGCUGAUUCCAAACUGUCGUCUUCAAAACGCAUAUAAAAUCCAAUAACUGCAAGACAUUUGAUACCCAUAUCAAUACUUUUCAGUCCCAAACCAUGUUUAACAAGACAUUCUAAGAACAGUUCUGAACUUAUGAUGGGCACAUCUGUGCAUUUCUUAAUAGCAAAUUCUGUACGACCAGAUGGGCAAAAACAAUUCUCUACUAACAGUCUAACAUCACAGACUAACUUAUUAUCCAAUCAAACUCAGAAUAUCAAGGAACAAAAUCAACCCAUUUGAGAUCAAUAGUUCACUUACUUUUAUUGAAAAUCUCCACAUGGUCCUUGAAAGGCCAAUCUUUGAACUGCCAUUCCUUUCCCAGUACGAAAACAGCUACAACACGGUCCCAGUCCUCUGAUUUCAGAGCUGAAGGCUUGUCCCUAACCUCAUACGCGGUCACCACUCUAUCUCUAUCCCUACUGAACUUCUUCUGCACAGUUACACAAUCAGGCCUCGCCCCUUUCAUCUGCUUAACCUUAACAUCCGUGGGUAUAAACACACCAUCUUCCAAAAACUCCUUCACAUUAUAUAUUGUGAUCAGAGUCUGAAAAGCACUCGGAACCAGAAUUAUAGGCACACCUUCUCCAAUCUUUCCUCCCUUCAAAUGCAUUUUCGGUUUCGGAUUCGCAUCAUAACCCAAAUCAUCACCAUAUCCCACCAAACCCCUGUCAUCAGAACCCAUCAGCCUACUCUUAGCAACCAAACCAUCCUUCCUCUGUUGAGAUUCAAGACGCUGCCUCUCCUCCUCACGCUUCGUCGACAUCACAAGCACGUUAUAGAAAUUCCUAUUCUUACAUUCCAACAACGAUUCCCUAUCCUUCAACGGUCUCUCAAUAGCCCUAAUCAUGGUCAUAUAAUCAACAUUAGUAGAAUCCUUAAAACCAUCGUCCUCGUCAACCGCAUCCAUAGCUGCUCCAACAAUCACCGGGUCUUCAGGACGAUACUCAUCCACAGAGGGCAAAUCGGGAAACUUGGGGUUCUGAGGUACAAGAAACUCGAUGGCGUCGGAGGAGGAAACCUUGCCGGUAAGAUAAUCAAGCAGAGGCUUCCGGUCAGGGAAAGUGACGGAAGUAAUUCCCUGAGUGCGAGCGUUUUGAAGGUACUCAGUGUGCUUGACAUGGUGAUUCUUGAUGUAAUAGACGAGGGUUUCGAGUGUGUAGAGAUUGCCUUGUUUGGAGCGGUAAGCAGUUUCGACGGAGCAAGGGAAGGAAUAAUCGGAGGCGAAACGGAACUCGUCGUUGACUCGGACGAUUUUGUCGAGCUCGCCUCGAAUGGUGAAAUCUCGGAGAGCUGAGAGAGGAUCCAUUUUGCAGUGGAGUAGCUUUUUGUUUUUUUGGUCAGAGUGUGAAAUGAGGAAGAAGAAGGGUUGUUCUUCUUGUUCAACUUCAAGGCUAGUUUUGUAAAUUUCAAUUUUUAAUAGGGUUUCAAUGGACAAACGGCAACGUAAGAUAAUUGCUAUUGGGCCUUCGUUCUCGGCCCAGUCAAGAUUUAAAGAACACAUCGAACCUAAUUGAUAGCUAUUACAAGCUCCUAUUAUUGAAAUCUACUAGUCAUAGUAAUUGAAAGCUAUUCUAAGUGGCCAUGUCACCUUUUGUCAUACUCAAUCUUUUACUAUCUUUAAUAAUUUCAUAAUCCAUUUAACAUUUACAACAUAAAAUACACACUAUACAAGAAUCCCAUCUCUGCCAAAUGCUUCAUAAGCAACCAAAGAUACAUAAUCUACAAAAACAACCAAUUUGACUGAAUGAAAUAUGAUACUAACAUUUUGACGGAAUCAAAACGAAAUAGAGACAAAAGUAGUAUUCAAAUAUUUUUAAAUUUCAUCCACGUUGUUGAAAUAUCUAUUUAACAUCGUCAAUUUUCGAUUUUAAUUUUGAUGAAAAUUUGAAAUAUUUAUUUUGGUAAAAAAAAAUAUUGUAACGUGAAGACUAAAUUGGGAAUUUCUCCCUGUGAAAAUGCACAAAAACAGCUAAAAAAUACAUUAAUGUGAUUUUCACAUGUCCAUGUCACCUUUUGUCAUUGUGAGAAUUAUUAAAAUGGAAGAAAAAAAAUUAAAUCAGAAUUUCAUCAUUUAUCUAAUAUAUCAAAAUAUGAAAGCUGUAUCAUAGUUGAAUGCAAAUAGUCACAAAUAGGAAUGUAUCAUAAUCUAUAUAACUAAGCUUUAGUAAUUCCAUAAUCCAUUCAUCAUCAUCAUCAAUUCAUGAAAAAUUACGAUACAAAAUCAGUUUUAAGAAAGCUAAACAUAACAUAAUCCCUAACUUUCCCCUUAAGCACUCCAUAUUUCCUAAGAACACCUUCUCUCUGAAAUCCCGCCUUCUCCAUCACUCGUUGAGACGCAAAAUUCUCCACAUCCACCAACGCCUCCAGCCUCUCCAGUUCCGGCCACUCUACAAAUAUCCUCUCCAUCACUAAUUUCACCGCCGCCGUAACGAUCCCUUUCCCCCAAAAUUUUGACCCCAAAACGUACCCCAGUUCGCCCCUGCACUUGUCCCUCGCCGCCGUGUUCGACAUCACCGAAAUCGCGCCGACUGGACGACCAUCGACGCAGAUGGCCCGGUAAUAGGGGUGCGAAAGGACUUGGUCAUUGAUGAACUUAAUGGCUUCGGAUUUGUCCUGGUAGGGCUCCCAAGAGCAGUAUCGAGCGGCUUUCUCGUCGGUUGCCCAUCCCAUGAAGUCGUCGAUGUCGGUGAGAUCUAGUGGGCGGAGAGUGAGUUCCAUGGCUGUGAAUUGAUGUUGUUAUUUACUGUUAUGCUGGUGUGGAAUGGGGAUUUUAUAGAAAGGGAAAGUGGAAGAAAAAGAAGAAGAAGGUGUGAGGAAUUAUCGUUUUGGAUGGAGAAGUCAAACUUGAUUUGCUUGGAGUGGACUACAAGUCUCAUAUGGCUGCAAUUUGUGAAUUGAUGUGGAUUAUUUUGCUUUGUUUGUUCACUUAAUUUAAGCUAACUAAUAACUUUUGUUUUUUUAAAAAUAAUUUAAAAUUAGCCCAACACCCAAAUAAACGUCAAGGCUAAAAUGCGAAUCUCUCUAUGAAAAUCGAUACCAUUUUUGUAGCCCCAAAGCCUCCGACAACAACAGCCUCCCUUUCCAAUCAAUGAACUCAUCAAGAAUCUCCAUUCGGCCGUUCAAUCUCUCCGACGCCGACGACUUUCUCCGAUGGGCCAGCGACGAAAGAGU